GCUCCGCACCCGGCCCCGCCGCCUCGGCCCCCCCCCGAGGGGCGCGGCCGCCCGGCUCGCGGGCUGGCUCAGCUGAAUCCUCUCUGCGGGGCACGAAUGGAGCGCCGGGAGCUCGGGAAGAAGGCGGCGCGCAGACGAGGAACAGAGAGCCAUCGGCUGCCGGGACAGCGCCAAAGGGACGCGGCGACUCGCGCACGUCUCAGGACAUAUCGAGGCUUGGGAAAUCCCCUCCACCCCCGUUCUUAAGAGGGGAGUACACCCAGAAAGUGCAUGUGAUGGCGUGGAGAGGAAUCCGCGCGCGGCGACGACCCGCAGCGCGCCCUGCUCCCACUCUCACUCGCGGAGCUGGCCACGGCAGUCGCGGAUCCCUGGCAGGGAGGCUGAGUUCGCUGGGCCGAGCGCGUGAGGGUGGUCGGAAACAAGGCAGGAGGCGGCUUGGGAAAAAGUGGAGCAGAAAUGGAAAAAUACAAACUCACCCGCUGCAAAUGGUCUCUCGGUGCAAACUAAGGUGUUUUCGGGCCUUUCCCCGAGCGCGCCCACUCCCGCCCGCGCGCGCACCCCCGCAAACACACUCACUUGGUCACACACGCGCGCGCGCGCGCACAUAUACACACACACACACACACACAGACACACACAUACACACGCACUCCCGGGCGAGGGCCGGGCCGCGCGAGUACAGCAUGAAACCGCCACACAAUAAAUAACAAUAGAUUCCUCCGCUCCGGACUAGCUUCCCGGAGCCCAGCUAGCGCCAGUGGUGGCGGCGGCGGCGUCGGGCCGGGGCUUUCCCCAGCCUGCUCCCACCCCUGACAUCCAGCCUGGGCCCCUUCUCCACCUCACGCGCCCACAAACCACCCCCGGGCCUGAGCCUGCUCACCCUCCUUCCCCAAGCCACUUAGGUGCUGGUGCCCGCCCCCACCCCCGGAACAAAUAAAUAAAUAAGGCGCGCGCGAGGCCAACACGUCGCGGAGGGAGAUGUUGUUAUUUUUUGCUGUUGUGCGUCCCUGACGUCACAUCCACCUGCUGGGUAAACAACAAGGCUUGCAGCAAAAAAAAAAAAAAAAAAUCCAGUUGCCAAAACGGGGGAGGUGGGAAUUGGGGGCAAGGGGAACAGAGAGGUAGGAGUGAGGGGCGUCCAGGCUGGAUGGGAGAGAGGGAGGCAGAGCCUGCAGACCCGAGAGAGAGGAGGGCCACGCCAGAGCAGUCCCUGGCAAAAGAGGAAUCAGGCAAGAAAGACCUGGAAAACAAGGGGCAUGGGGGAGGGGGAUUCCUCAGAAGAGGGGAAAGGGGGGCCCAUUCAGACCCUGGGGAAAAAAGCGAGAGGGAGAGUGUUAGCAACUAGGGACGAAGAUCGUAAGGCGACGGCUAUUUGCUUGGUUUCUGAGCUAAAAAUACAGAAGGAAGAGGAGAGGAUAGACAGGGAUGUGAGUUUCCUCCAGUUAAAAGUGAAAGUGUUUUGCCAUCAGUGACAGUUGAAGGAGGGGGAGGGGGUGGU
rnacentral:lncRNA from 1 species